rnacentral:rRNA from 1 species
GACGUAGGGCGCGAGCGUUGUCCGGAUUUAUUGGGCGUAAAGAGCUCGUAGGCGGCUUGUCGCGUCGUCCGUGAAAACCUGCAGCUCAACUGCAGGCUUGCGGUCGAUACGGGCAGGCUAGAGUUCGGUAGGGGAGACUGGAAUUCCUGGUGUAGCGGUGAAAUGCGCAGAUAUCAGGAAGAACACCCGUGGCGAAGGCGGCUCUCUGGGACGGUACUGACGCUGAGACGCGAAAGCGUGGGGAGCGAACAGG